rnacentral:rRNA from 1 species
GAUGAACGCUGGCGGCGUGCCUAAUACAUGCAAGUCGAGCGAACAGACGAGGAGCUUGCUCCUCUGACGUUAGCGGCGGACGGGUGAGUCACACGUGGAUAACCUACCUAUAAGACUGGGAUAACUUCGGGAAACCGGAGCUAAUACCGGAUAAUAUAUUGAACCGCAUGGUUCAAUAGUGAAAGACGGUUUUGCUGUCACUUAUAGAUGGAUCCGCGCCGCAUUAGCUAGUUGGUAAGGUAACGGCUUACCAAGGCAACGAUGCGUAGCCGACCUGAGAGGGUGAUCCGCCACCCUGGAACUGAGACACGGUCCAGACUCCUACGGGAGGCAGCAGUAGGGAAUCUUCCGCAAUGGGCGAAAGCCUGACGGAGCAACGCCGCGGGAGUGAUGAAGGUCUUCGGAUCGUAAAACUCUGUUAUUAGGGAAGAACAAAUGUGUAAGUAACUAUGCACGUCUUGACGGUACCUAAUCAGAAAGCCACGGCUAACUACGUG